UACAGAGGGGGCCGGCGUUAUUCGGAAUUAUUGGGCGUAAAGGGCGCGUAGGCGGCUUUGCGUGUCUUUCGUGAAAUCCCUCGGCUCAACUGAGGACGUGCGGAAGAAACUGCAGGGCUGGAGUCCGGGAGAGGAGGGUGGAAUUCCCAGUGUAGCGGUGAAAUGCGUAGAUAUUGGGAGGAACACCGGUGGCGAAGGCGGCCCUCUGGACCGGUACUGACGCUGAUGCGCGAAAGCGUGGGGAGCAAACGGG
rnacentral:rRNA from 1 species